AACUUCGGGAUAAGCCUGGGAAACCGGGUCUAAUACCGGAUACGACCUCCUGGCGCAUGCCAUGGUGGUGGAAAGCUUUAGCGGUUUUGGAUGGACUCGCGGCCUAUCAGCUUGUUGGUUGGGGUAAUGGCCCACCAAGGCGACGACGGGUAGCCGGCCUGAGAGGGUGACCGGCCACACUGGGACUGAGACACGGCCCAGACUCCUACGGGAGGCAGCAGUGGGGAAUAUUGCACAAUGGGCGAAAGCCUGAUGCAGCGACGCCGCGUGAGGGAUGACGGCCUUCGGGUUGUAAACCUCUUUCAGCAGGGAAGAAGCGAAAGUGACGGUACCUGCAGAAGAAGCGCCGGCUAACUACGUGCCAGCAGCCGCGGUAAUACGUAGGGCGCAAGCGUUAUCCGGAAUUAUUGGGCGUAAAGAGCUCGUAGGCGGUUUGUCGCGUCUGCUGUGAAAGCCCGGGGCUCAACCCCGGGUCUGCAGUGGGUACGGGCAGACUAGAGUGCAGUAGGGGAGACUGGAAUUCCUGGUGUAGCGGUGAAAUGCGCAGAUAUCAGGAGGAACACCGAUGGCGAAGGCAGGUCUCUGGGCUGUAACUGACGCUGAGGAGCGAAAGCAUGGGGAGCGAACAGGAUUAGAUACCCUGGUAGUCCAUGCCGUAAACGUUGGGCACUAGGUGUGGGGGACAUUCCACGUUUUCCGCGCCGUAGCUAACGCAUUAAGUGCCCCGCCUGGGGAGUACGGCCGCAAGGCU
rnacentral:rRNA from 1 species